rnacentral:lncRNA from 1 species
GGUACCUGAAGUGUGACACGGACGAUGGGUGUGAGGCCAUUGAGGGCGGCCCUUCGACACGGUCGACGACGCCCUCGUGUCCGGCGACAGCGUCCGCUUCUUCGUCAACGUCGACCCGGAGGUCCAGCAGAGUCUCGCAGACAGCGAAGGGUCCGGCUGUGUCCUGCCCCACACGUCCAGGAAGUACCUGAAGCUGAAGAGCUUCGGGGAGGAGAUCCGGGCGCGCCGGAACCUGGACGGCUUCCCGCCCCGGGCCGGCAUCCUCCCGGACGAGACGGCCGCGCCCCGGACGACGUCCUGUGCAAGAUGCUCAGACGUUUUGCCGAGGACGCCGACGGCGCCGAGCCCAACUGCAACUUCGACAAGAUCACGGGCACCCCGUUCACCGACUGGAGCACCCCCGUGAGGGUAACGUCCACCUUCUCUCGUCAUCCGGGGGGGCGACGGCCACGGUGA